CCAUGUUCUUGUACAUUACUAAUUGGUGUUUUCCAUUUUCUUUUCUUUUCUUUUACUUUGUCCCUCCCACAAUAGGAAAUCACACCUCGGAUUUUAGGGGAAAGAAAAUAUGUGUGGGUGUGAUAGUUGGAGUUAAAAAGAAAGAUGAAAGAAAUAAGAGUCUUGCUAUGUAAUGUCAAUGUGAUAGAUUUGUGUUGAAUUACUAGUGCGAAACGUAUUAAUACAUGAGAUUAGAAAGGUUCUAGGCAAAUCAAAA
rnacentral:lncRNA from 1 species